rnacentral:rRNA from 1 species
AGAGGUGGCAAGCGUUGUUCGGAAUUACUGGGCUUAAAGGGCGCGUAGGUGGUGGCAUAAGUCCGAGGUGGAAGGCUAAGGCUUAACCUUAGAAUUGCCUUGGAAACUGUAUCACUUGAGUCAGCGAGGGGAUGGCGGAAUUCCAGGUGUAGCGGUGAAAUGCGUAGAUAUCUGGAGGAAGGCCGGUGGCGAAGGCGGCCAUCUGGCGCUGAACUGACACUGAGGCGCGAAAGCGUGGGGAGCAAACAGGAUUUGAUACCCUGGUAGUCCACGCCCUAAACGGUGGGUACUAGGUGUAGGGCUCGCAAGGGUUCUGUGCCGUAGGGAAACCAUUAAGUACCCCGCCUGGGGAGUACGGCCGCAAGGUUG